AAACGCUCGGAAAUGCUAGACAGGCUUAACAAGACUUCGCAGUGAGUGAGAGUGAUUGUGCUGCUUUUAUGUGUGUGUAAAUGAGGUGCAGGUGUGGCAGGGUGAUUGUGAUGCAGUGACUCAUGGGGAAUGUAGUUCAGGUGUGGUGCAACAGUAUGAGAGGUGCUAGUGUCCAAGUGACAUCUGGUGGUUGAUGGGUGGAAUGGUCCUGAGUGGAGUGCCCUCUACUGAAGUUAAUGGGCACUCCAUCUAAUGAUCGUGACA